UCGAGGAUUGUUGCAGCAGGCCAAGACCGCAAAGCGGUUGAGGCGCCUGAUAAGUAAGCCCGGUCAACAAAAGAUCUCCAGGAAACUCGAUCCCUGGCUACAGCUUCCCAUCCGUGUAGGCACCCGAUCUCCGACAGGUUUCCCUUCACCUGAUCCAGCCAACAAACUCGCUGUGCUCCCCGACGCCUCGUGCCGAACUGAGGGUCGCUGACGAGCACCUUCUUGGCGGGGCAUGAGUCCGGCAUCUUCAUAACAUGCCCCAGCCAUCGUAUCCUGCCGGUCUUCGCCACCGUCAGGAUGUCCGGUUCGUCGUAUAACUCAGCAAGCUCGUGGUUCAUCCUUCACCUUCACACUCCAUGCUCGAACACGCCCAGAGCGUUUGCAUCCUCUGCAAACGGAUGGUCCAAGACUCGUGGCCAUAUAGGACCACCGGACGAAUCAGUGUGCGAUAGAACUCACGUUUCGUGCGGUCUCGAAGUCUACUGGAUCUCAGCAGAUGGUGAAGGCCGUAGUAGGCACGAUUCCACUGCACAACGCGUCUCCGGAUUUCGCUGGGGAGACUUAAAAUGUGGACGGCUUAAAAAGGCUUUAUAGGUUAGAUUGUACGGUGUCAUUCUCAGUAAAUGGCCAAGCUACCUGACGUGAGUCUCCCGAAGCUUUACACACAUAUGGGGUCAAAAACUCUUCUUGGAACAGAGUCGAUAUCUGCGAGGCGUGAAUAGCAAAUUUCUUCUUCUUCUUUGGCUCUACAACCUCAAGAGGUUUGCGGCCUGCCAUUUCUGGCUUUCUGUGACUCUGUCUCCGUUUCUGGACGCUCAGUUCUGCGUCAGUAGCAUACACACACUGGGACAUAAAAAGGCAAUCCAGGACUCUUGCGACAGGGGAAAGUUUCUUCAGACUGUUGCAUGGCCGGUUAGAACUACUGCACACGUAUCUCAACAUCUCUGUUGUUCUCUAGUUGCUCGUCUAACCUCCUGUAUACAUGGGGUAGAUUCCAAUAACAAAUCUUGGUGAUUAACUAUCUCGUACCUCAGCAAUAGGAUGAUAUCGUCAGCUAAUUAACCUUCCAGCAUUUAAGAUAUUGUACAUUACAAAUAACUAUCAUAAAACUUAUUAACAAUUACUAACAUUGCAUACUUUCAGGCGCCAGUGUAUACGGCGGUGAAUUACUGUAUGUGACAAUAACCUUUGUUGUUUCAAUUCAAGCAUAAUUGAACACAAAAAUAGAAUAAUUGAUUUUAAAAUUCAAAAUUGUUAUAAAUUUAUACAUAAGUAGAGCUUAAAGCUGAUAAAUUAAAGCUGAUAAACCCUCCUUUCCUUCAAGGCAUCAAGGCAAGCAAAAGCCUUCAAAAUACUCAAUUAAAAUGCAUAGCCUCGCGUUCGAAACCGGGUUCCACUUCCUAAUCGCAUUACUACUUGCUUCACAGCUAAGUCAUACAGCUGUGUUAAUAUUCAAGAUCACUAGCAGACUUGUCCGUAACGUCUUUAAGGGGAAGGAUUUAUUUCGAAUGCUGUUACUUAGCUUUUGGGGGGGGGGGGGGGGUUUCUCCCCCCUUUUGGCGCAGUUCUCAUUGCUCACUUUCUUAUGGCGCAAUUUGACACGUGCCUGCCGCUAAGAACCAAAACACAUGCCACCUGGCAAUUACAAACUUUGCUGGCCGCUGCUGGGGCAGGAACAGUUCAGGAACUUUAACAGCAUCGAUUGUGACCGUGCGAUACGAAGUGUGUGUGUGUGUGUGUGACCUCGAUGUUUUGGAUGUAAGCCCACCACAGCUGGGAAGGGUGAGAAGGAUUCAAUUGCUGUUGCUGAGCGCACUCACACACCCGGCCUGAUUUUCAUGCCAGAGAGUAGACGUUUGGAGGAGUUAGUGAUUCGGUCAACGAUAUCUUACUUCGGCAGAGAACGGUGACCUUUCGUGUGUUUAUGUUUAUGGAAAUUUUCUGCAAAUUGAGCGCCCUCAGAUAUCCUCAGAACACCCCAACCCAACAAAGGCACAU